rnacentral:rRNA from 1 species
AGGACGAACGCUGGCGGCGUGCUUAACACAUGCAAGUCGAGCGGAAAGGCCCCUUCGGGGUACGUCGAGCGGCGAACGGGUGAGUAACACGUGAGCAACCUGCCCUUAGCUCUGGGAUAGCUCCGGGAAACCGGAAUUAAUACCGGAUACGACCUAGGCCGACAUCGGCCAUGGUGGAAAGUUUUUCGGCUAGGGAUGGACUCGCGGCCUAUCAGCUAGUUGGUGGGGUAAAGCCUACCAAGGCGACGACGGGUAG